rnacentral:rRNA from 1 species
GACGAACGCUGGCGGCGUGCCUAAUACAUGCAAGUCGAACGCUUCUUUCCUCCCGAGUGCUUGCACUCAAUUGGAAAGAGGAGUGGCGGACGGGUGAGUAACACGUGGGUAACCUACCCAUCAGAGGGGGAUAACACUUGGAACCAGGUGCUAAUACCGCAUAACAGUUUAUGCCGCAUGGCAUAAGAGUGAAAGGCGCUUUCGGGUGUCGUUGAUGGAUGGACCCGCGGUGCAUUAGCUAGUUGGUGAGGUAACGGCUCACCAAGGCCACGAUGCAUAGCCGACCUGAGAGGGUGAUCGGCCACACUGGGACUGAGACACGGCCCAGACUCCUACGGGAGGCAGCAGUAGGGAAUCUUCGGCAAUGGACGAAAGUCUGACCGAGCAACGCCGCGUGAGUGAAGAAGGUUUUCGGAUCGUAAAACUCUGUUGUUAGAGAAGAACAAGGACGUUAGUAACUGAACGUCCCCUGACGGUAUCUAACCAGAAAGCCACGGCUAACUACGUG